rnacentral:rRNA from 1 species
UACGAAGGGUGCAAACGUUGCUCGGAAUUAUUGGGCGUAAAGCGCACGUAGGCGGCUUAGCAAGUCGGAUGUGAAAUCCCUCGGCUCAACCAAGGAAGUGCAUCCGAAACUGCUGAGCUUGAGUACUUAAGAGGAUCGCGGAAUUCCCGGUGUAGAGGUGAAAUGUGUUGAUAUUGGAAGGAACGCCGGUGGCGAAAGCGACACACUGGACCUUGUCUGACGCUGAGGCACGAAAGCCAGGGGAGCAAACGGG